rnacentral:misc_RNA from 1 species
GGCAAUAAGUUUCAACUCAUUCAUAAAUUCCUCUAGUCCUUGUCCAGAUUUUCUUGAAAGCCUUUUUAUGGCUAUUUCUUGAUCUCCAGGCAGAUUUCCCUUAUAGACAGGGCCAAACCCACCCUCUCCCAGUUUAUUUGCUUCGGAAAAGUUAUUUGUGGCGGCUAACAUACUUUUAAAGCUAAAUGAAAUCAGCUGUGCAUUGUUUUGUCCUCCUCCAGCUGCAACAUUGUUUUUUAUCUCAGACGAACUUCCUGUUUUUCUCAUAUUUGUCCUUCUCAGGAUUACUGAUAGAAGCAGGCCAAGGAGAAUUAGCAUAACCGAUGAACCCACAGCCACCCCAGUAACCAUUCCCUUAUUACUGUUAGAACUUGAGAACUCAGAAGCU